rnacentral:rRNA from 1 species
GACGAACGCUGGCGGCGUGCUUAACACAUGCAAGUCGAACGGAAAGGCCCUGCUUUUGUGGGGUGCUCGAGUGGCGAACGGGUGAGUAACACGUGAGUAACCUGCCCUUGACUUUGGGAUAACUUCAGGAAACUGGGGCUAAUACCGGAUAGGAGCUCCUGCUGCAUGGUGGGGGUUGGAAAGUUUCGGCGGUUGGGGAUGGACUCGCGGCUUAUCAGCUUGUUGGUGGGGUAGCGGCUUACCAAGGCUUUGACGGGUAGCCGGCCUGAGAGGGUGACCGGCCACAUUGGGACUGAGAUACGGCCCAGACGCCUACGGGAGGCAGCAGUGGGGAAUAUUGCACAAUGGGCGGGAGCCUGAUGCAGCAACGCCGCGUGCGGGAUGACGGCCUUCGGGUUGUAAACCGCUUUCGCCUGUGACGAAGCGUGAGUGACGGUAAUGGGUAAAGAAGCACCGGCUAACUACGUG